rnacentral:rRNA from 1 species
AGAGUUUGAUCCUGGCUCAGGAUGAACGCUAGCUACAGGCUUAACACAUGCAAGUCGAGGGGCAGCAUGGUCUUAGCUUGCUAAGGCCGAUGGCGACCGGCGCACGGGUGAGUAACACGUAUCCAACCUGCCGUCUACUCUUGGACAGCCUUCUGAAAGGAAGAUUAAUACAAGAUGGCAUCAUGAGUCCGCAUGUUCACAUGAUUAAAGGUAUUCCGGUAGACGAUGGGGAUGCGUUCCAUUAGAUAGUAGGCGGGGUAACGGCCCACCUAGUCUUCGAUGGAUAGGGGUUCUGAGAGGAAGGUCCCCCACAUUGGAACUGAGACACGGUCCAAACUCCUACGGGAGGCAGCAGUGAGGAAUAUUGGUCAAUGGGCGAGAGCCUGAACCAGCCAAGUAGCGUGAAGGAUGACUGCCCUAUGGGUUGUAAACUUCUUUUAUAAAGGAAUAAAGUCGGGUAUGCAUACCCGUUUGCAUGUACUUUAUGAAUAAGGAUCGGCUAACUCCGUGCCAGCAGCCGCGGUAAUACGGAGGAUCCGAGCGUUAUCCGGAUUUAUUGGGUUUAAAGGGAGCGUAGAUGGAUGUUUAAGUCAGUUGUGAAAGUUUGCGGCUCAACCGUAAAAUUGCAGUUGAUACUGGAUAUCUUGAGUGCAGUUGAGGCAGGCGGAAUUCGUGGUGUAGCGGUGAAAUGCUUAGAUAUCACGAAGAACUCCGAUUGCGAAGGCAGCCUGCUAAGCUGCAACUGACAUUGAGGCUCGAAAGUGUGGGUAUCAAACAGGAUUAGAUACCCUGGUAGUCCACACGGUAAACGAUGAAUACUCGCUGUUUGCGAUAUACAGCAAGCGGCCAAGCGAAAGCGUUAAGUAUUCCACCUGGGGAGUACGCCGGCAACGGUGAAACUCAAAGGAAUUGACGGGGGCCCGCACAAGCGGAGGAACAUGUGGUUUAAUUCGAUGAUACGCGAGGAACCUUACCCGGGCUUAAAUUGCAGAUGAAUUACGGUGAAAGCCGUAAGCCGCAAGGCAUCUGUGAAGGUGCUGCAUGGUUGUCGUCAGCUCGUGCCGUGAGGUGUCGGCUUAAGUGCCAUAACGAGCGCAACCCUUGUUGUCAGUUACUAACAGGUCAUGCUGAGGACUCUGACAAGACUGCCAUCGUAAGAUGUGAGGAAGGUGGGGAUGACGUCAAAUCAGCACGGCCCUUACGUCCGGGGCUACACACGUGUUACAAUGGGGGGUACAGAGGGCUGCUACCACGCAAGUGGAUGCCAAUCCCAAAAACCUCUCUCAGUUCGGACUGGAGUCUGCAACCCGACUCCACGAAGCUGGAUUCGCUAGUAAUCGCGCAUCAGCCACGGCGCGGUGAAUACGUUCCCGGGCCUUGUACACACCGCCCGUCAAGCCAUGGGAGCCGGGGGUACCUGAAGUGCGUAACCGCGAGGAGCGCCCUAGGGUAAAACUGGUGACUGGGGCUAAGUCGUAACAAGGUAGCCGUACCGGAAGGUGCGGCUG